UACGAAGGGUGCAAGCGUUACUCGGAAUUACUGGGCGUAAAGCGUGCGUAGGUGGUGAGUUAAGUCUGUCGUGAAAGCCCCGGGCUCAACCUGGGAAUGGCGAUGGAUACUGGCUCGCUAGAGUGCGGUAGAGGAGAGUGGAAUUCCCCGGUGUAGCAGUGAAAAUGCGUAGAGAUCGGGAGGAACAUCAGUUGCGAAGGCGGCUCUCUGGACCAGCACUGACACUGAGGCACGAAAAGCGUGGGGGAGCAAAACAGG
rnacentral:rRNA from 1 species